UACAGAGGGUGCAAGCGUUAAUCGGAAUUACUGGGCGUAAAGCGUGCGUAGACGGUAGCGUAAGCCAGGUGUGAAAUCCCCGGGCUCAACCUGGGAAUGGCAUUUGGGACUGCAAGGCUGGAGUGCGGCAGAGGAGACUGGAAUUCCUGGUGUAGCAGUGAAAUGCGUAGAUAUCAGGAGGAACACCGAUGGCGAAGGCAGGUCUCUGGGCUGACACUGACGCUCAUGCACGAAAGCGUGGGGAGCAAACAGG
rnacentral:rRNA from 1 species